CCUACGGGAGGCUGCAGUGGGGAAUAUUGCACAAUGGGGGAAACCCUGAUGCAGCGACGCCGCGUGAGUGAAGAAGGUUUUCGGAAUGUAAAGCUCUAUCAGAAGGGAAGAUAAUGACGGUACCUGACUAAGAAGCACCGGCUAACUACGUGCCAGCAGCCGCGGUAAUACGUAGGGGGCAAGCGUUAUCCGGAUUUACUGGGUGUAAAGGGUGCGUAGGUGGGUGGGCAAGUCAGAUGUGAAAGGCCGGGGCUCAACCCCGGGAUUGCAUUUGACACUGUCCAGCUGGAGUGCAGGAGAGGAAAGCGGAAUUCCAAGUGUAGCGGUGAAAUGCGUAGAUAUUAGGAGGAACACCAGUGGCGAAGGCGGCUUACUGGACUGUAACUGACGCUGAGGCACGAAAGCGUGGGGAGCAAACAGGAUUAGAUACCCGGGUAGUC
rnacentral:rRNA from 1 species